UGAAAAUAAAAAGGUAAUACCUUUGGAGAAACCUAUAUUCUUUGACGGCCUUUUUUCUUAUUAAAGGAACUUGUUAUUUAAUCGAAACUACACGUUAAUUUUUUCUUCUCUUUUAAAGCUUUUAUACCGUCGUCUCAAGAGCUUACCUCAAUGUGCACUCUAAAUUUGUUGACAAAAUAAAUCAGAUCAAGGUGAGGCCCAUAAAGAAGAACAUAAUGAGUUAUAUAUAAAAAUAAUUUAUAGAUUUUCUACUUUUAAAAGCCAAAUGAAUUAAGAUUUAAAAGUAUUGUUAAGUUAGCAACUUAUAAAGAGUGAGUAAAAAAAGG
rnacentral:rRNA from 1 species